ACGGGGACAUCAUCGGCCCAGGUCAUCGUAGAUAUCCUUGGCUUUCGAUCUCCAUCAAAAUCUGGAAUUGGGGGGCGAAUAGGAGAGUGUAGCUAUUGAAUCACUAGGGAGGACUCCUCAAGCAGUAGCUCAUUCACAAAUGGGAAGACUCCCUUUUAAUUCGAGCCACUCAGGGAUCUUCUCGAUUUCUCUUCUUUCCUUUUGCCUGCCUAUGGAGUUUUCGAGCUUCCUCUAUCUGGGUGUACUUUCGAACUCGAGCUAGCAGAUCAGCAUAAUCCCUCAAGAACUUCUUGUUGAGGAAGAAGACAAGACGCUCAUUCCGUAAGCCUCACUUAAGCACCGACAUUGCUA
rnacentral:lncRNA from 1 species